AAUCUAUUGCAUCAGUUCAGCUACUGUAUUUACAUUAUGAUGAUAACGAUGCUUUCUGAAUUUACAGUCUCGCAUGAUCCAGACAGAGCGGGGAAGAGUUGUUCUGUAUCAGAGAGGAUCAUGAUGAGAUGAGAUACAAAUGGAGUGUAGAGAUGAAAUAAUGCAUACUGAAAACUGCUGGAGCAUCAGAAACUACAGAAGAGCAAAACCCAACAGGACAGAGAGAGAAAUGGAGGACAGAAAUGAAAGACAAACCAGUGGCUCUCAAGAGAAAAGCAGACAGAGACUUGUUAGAUGUGACAGUAUGAAGAGAAUAAAACCAACAUUCUCGCAUGAUCCAGAAGGGCCUGUAAAGUUUGAUUCAGAUAUUCUGAAGAACACACACCAUCACUGACCUCCAGCUACUAACAGAUGAAAACCUGAACAUAAUCACCAUCAUCUUCUUAGACUCUAUCACUCCAGACUGCAGUCUGUUGAGCUUCUGGACUCUUUCAGUAUUUUUCAGACUCAUCUGAGUGCAAACUAACAGACUGAUGCACUAAAGCAUGUCUGUGGAUUGAGGAGGAAUCUGGAGAACCUGAAGGAAACCCACAAUAACACAGACAACAAUAGAAUACAUAGAAAAGCCACUGACUUCAACCACAACUUAGUGAUACCCACUGAGCCACCUAACAUUUCAUACUAUACAGUACUUAAAUUAUCUUCUGUAUUUAAGAGAAAUUAAGUGGCAUGUUGAUCUGCCAGUCACUGGUCUUUAAUGCUUUCCUCCAUGUAAAAAGCCAUGUUUAUAGUUUUUUCACACUUGAAAAUCGAAUGUGUUGUGGGCAAUAUUAGAGUGUGAACGGAUUUACACUUUGAAUUUCCAGUAGAAACAGUAAACCAUCCUGGUACCUUUGGGAAACUCAUUUCAUCAUAUUAUGAUUUGGGACACACCAACUAAUUUUUUUGCAAAUUUUUGGAUGCAGCACAUAUCAACACUGAAGAACAGUCUCAAAGAUUCAUUACUGACAGUGUGGGAUUACAAAUGUAUAAAAUCUAGGUUCCAAUGUAAUA